GAAUAUAAAUGAUGUUUGCAAGUUUGAUCUUUGCUCGGCUGUUGUCGAUGAUCUGGCAAACAAGGUACCCAAAUGGAAGAAAUCGUCAUCAUCCAAUUCACCUUCAGUUCAGGGCUGUGUCGCACUUUUAUUGAUAUAUUACUUGGACAACCUUUUUUGUCCUUCGCACAUGCUCAUAGAUGCAAAAGAAACUCCACGUGCUGUAUUGUUCAACAAGACAAUUGUCGACAAGCUUGCAAAGGCUGACAGGAAACAAUCCCAGGAUGACGGGACCGUCACAUAUGGCAAUCUCCCAUUUCGCAGCAAAGUAGGAACGUGCUAUGAAGAUGUGCGUGGCGAUGAUGCUCCCAGUCCCGAGGAGGUUGUGGCCCCUCCACCAAAGCGCAGUCGUGCAAAGACAAAGGAAGCUGCUGUCCCCAUCGCACCCAGCGCCCCUAG